GGCCGUUUCGCUUCGAAGAUUGUUUCAGAAGCUUUGGGCGGCGGGCGUCUCUGAGAGAAAUUAGAAUCUGGAAACUGUUCUUCAGGAAGAAACCCAUUAGUUUGGAACUGGAGAAUUCCUUUGCAUCAGAUACUAAAAUGAAAGAACCACUGUUAGGUGGAGUAUUGUCAUAGGCAACAGUCCAGAACUCAAGAGAAUGAACUGAAAAUAAACGCUGUGUUUUCAGAGAGUGCUUCACAGUUGACUGCAGGCAUUCAGCUUUCUCUGGCAUCAUCUGGCAUGAAUAAAAUGCUUCCUUCAGUUUCAACCACAGCUAUUCAGGUUUCCUGUGCUGGUUGUAAAAAAAUUCUCCAGAAGGGGCAAACUGCUUAUCAGAGGAAAGGAUCUGCUCAACUUUUCUGCUCCAUACCAUGCAUCACUGAAUACAUUUCAUCUGCCAGUUCACCAGUUCCUUCUAAGAGAACUUGUUCAAACUGCUCAAAGUAUAUAAUUCUAAAUUAUGUCCCCUUU
rnacentral:sRNA from 1 species